rnacentral:rRNA from 1 species
UGGGUAGGGGAGCUUCACAUACGGGUUGAAGCAUGACCGUAAGGACAUGUGGACAGUAUGGGAGUGAGAAUGUUGGCAUGAGUAGCGAGAUGUGGGUGAGAAUCCCACAGGCCGUAAACCCAAGGUUGCCAGGGGAAGGUUCGUCCGCCCUGGGUUAGUCGGGACCUAAGCUGAGGCCGAAAGGCGUAGGUGAUGGACAACAGGUUGAUAUUCCUGUACUACCGAUAACCGUUUGAGAGA